UACGUAGGGGGCAAGCGUUAUCCGGAUUUACUGGGUGUAAAGGGCGUGUAGGCGGGGACGCAAGUCAGAUGUGAAAACCACGGGCUCAACCUGUGGCCUGCAUUUGAAACUGUGUUUCUUGAGUACUGGAGAGGCAGACGGAAUUCCUAGUGUAGCGGUGAAAUGCGUAGAUAUUAGGAGGAACACCAGUGGCGAAGGCGGUCAGCUGGACAGCAACUGACGCUGAGGCGCGAAAGCGUGGGGAGCAAACAGG
rnacentral:rRNA from 1 species